rnacentral:tRNA from 1 species
GGGGCUUGAUGACCAAAUAUAAGCUGCUAACUUAAUAUUUUAGCGGUUAAAUUCCGUUUAAACCCCU